rnacentral:lncRNA from 1 species
UUUUUUUUUUUUUUUUAGCAUAUCCCCCCCCCCUUUUUUUUCCUUCAAGUUAAAUGGUCGAUUCCUACGAUUAAAAAACACCCAAAAACACUUAUGAUUUUACAAGUUAUGAAACAGACUUUCUAAACUGCUAUGUCUGCACAAUAAACAAUUCCCCCAGAAUAAGCAAAUGAAAUGGGUGCUCAUAGUGGAUAGCACGAUAAUAUUGAUAGUGUAGAACCGGCAUCACACAAAUAAAAAUAAUGUGUUGAGAUAUAAUAUUAUUUUAAAAACAUCAUAAAAUAACUAGGAUACAAGGAAACAAAAUCUAUAUACAAAAAAAGAAACGCUUUCUUUAUAACUAUUUCAGAAACAAAUAGAAAAUUUCCACACAAAAUCUAAAAACUGACCUCGGUCAAACAACAUUACGUUGAUACUGCAUGAUCAGCUUAUUAUUAACUCUGCAUAAAUCAUAUAUCAUUAUAUAUCAUUCACAUGUCAUUGAAAUUUUGUUGUGGUGCUAGAUUAAAUUAUUUCUGUUUCAGUACGAGGUUUAUGAUAUAUUGUUA